rnacentral:snRNA from 1 species
AGAUGUGAGGGAGAUCUGGCUGCGACAUCUGUCACCCCAUUGAUCACCAGGGUUGAUUUGGCUGAUCUGGUUGGCUAGGUGGGUGUGUCCCCUUCCUCCUUCAAUGCUCCAUGUGUGUUCCUCCCAAAGCUGUGCACUUGGCCAAAGAGGAUGACCUCCUCGAUUUUUUAAUAUUUUUGCUGAGUGCUGG